rnacentral:rRNA from 1 species
GACGAACGCUGGCGGCGUGCCUAAUACAUGCAAGUCGAACGCACUCUCGAUUAGAUUGAAGGAGUUUGCUCCUGAUCGAUCAACAUUUGAGUGAGUGGCGGACGGGUGAGUAACACGUGGGUAACCUGCCCUAGAGUGGGGGAUAACAGUUGGAAACAGAUGCUAAUACCGCAUAAAACCUAACACCGCAUGGUGUAGGGUUGAAAGAUGGUUUCGGCUAUCACUAUAGGAUGGAUCCGCGGUGCAUUAGUUAGUUGGUGAGGUAAAGGCUCACCAAGACCGUGAUGCAUAGCCGACCUGAGAGGGUGAUCGGCCACACUGGAACUGAGACACGGCCCAGACUCCUACGGGAGGCAGCAGUAGGGAAUCUUCCACAAUGGGCGAAAGUCUGAUGGAGCAACGCCGCGUGAGUGAAGAAGGUCUUCGGAUCGUAAAACUCUGUUGUUGGGGAAGAAUGUAUCUGAUAGUAACUGAUCAGGUAGUGACGGUAUCCAACCAGAAAGCCACGGCUAACUACGUG